AUUCCUUUAUGAGGUGCAACCAAAACAGCUGUUAAACAUUGCAACAGGGAUAUUCUGGCAGGGUGUCUGUGUAGCAUUAGUUCUGAAUACGGUUGUGGUUUUGAUCACUAAAAUGGCUGUGACUUUUGGACUCUCUUUGAGUGUUUCUUGGCUUUGUUGCCUGCUAAUUGGAGGGAUAAAGUGUUUUCCACUUCAAGGUGGUGCUUAUGGGCAUCCUGCCUGCACUGGACCUGAACCAACUGGAUCCCAAGCAAGUGUGGUGUCUGGUCCAAAUGCUAAAGCUACUGGCUACAAUACCCUGGCAAGUGUGAUGCAGGGUCCAAAUGCCACAGCUGAAGCAACUGCUAAACAUACCUCUGCAGUAGCGGCUGCC